UACGAAGGGGGCUAGCGUUGCUCGGAAUCACUGGGCGUAAAGCGCACGUAGGCGGAUUGCUAAGUCAGGGGUGAAAUCCUGGAGCUCAACUCCAGAACUGCCUUUGAUACUGGCGAUCUCGAGUCCGGGAGAGGUGAGUGGAAUUCCUAGUGUAGAGGUGAAAUUCGUAGAUAUUAGGAAGAACACCAGUGGCGAAGGCGGACUCACUGGUCCG
rnacentral:rRNA from 1 species